rnacentral:rRNA from 1 species
GGCCACAUUGGGACUGAGACACGGCCCAAACUCCUACGGGAGGCAGCAGUGGGGAAUAUUGCACAAUGGGCGAAAGCCUGAUGCAGCGACGCCGCGUGAGCGAAGAAGUAUUUCGGUAUGUAAAGCUCUAUCAGCAGGGAAGAUAAUGACGGUACCUGACUAAGAAGCACCGGCUAAAUACGUGCCAGCAGCCGCGGUAAUACGUAUGGUGCAAGCGUUAUCCGGAUUUACUGGGUGUAAAGGGAGCGCAGGCGGUGCGGCAAGUCUGAUGUGAAAGCCCGGGGCUCAACCCCGGUACUGCAUUGGAAACUGUCGUACUAGAGUGUCGGAGGGGUAAGCGGAAUUCCUAGUGUAGCGGUGAAAUGCGUAGAUAUUAGGAGGAACACC